GACAACUUGGCCAGGCGUGGUGGCUCACCCCUGCAAUCCCAGCACUUUGGGAGGCCAAGGCGGGCGGAUCACCUGAGGUUAGGAGUUCGAGACCAGCCUGGCCAACAUGGUGAAACCCCUUCUCUACUAAAAAUACAAAAAAAUUAGCCAGGCGUGGUGGCGGGCGCCUGUAGUCCCAGCUACUCUGGAGGCUGAGGCAGGAGAGUAGCGUGAACCCGGGAGGCAGAGCUUGCGGUGAGCCGAGAUUGCGCUACUGCACUCCAGCCUGGGCGACAGUACCAGACUCCAUCUCAAAAAAAAAAAAACCAGACUGAAUUAAUUUUAACUGAAAAUUUCUCUUAUGUUCCAAGUACACAAUAGUAAGAUUAUGCUCAAUAUUCUCAGAAUAAUUUUCAAUGUAUUAAUGAAAUGAAAUGAUAAUUUGGCUUCAUAUCUAGACUAACACAAAAUUAAGAAUCUUCCAUAAUUGCUUUUGCUCAGUAACUGUGUCAUGAAUUGCAAGAGUUUCCACAAACACUAGCAAAUGUGUAGAUGUCUUUCCUUGUGUAGCGGACCUGUAGCGGGGAAAGGUCACACAACAUCCCUCUGGAUCCAGAA
rnacentral:lncRNA from 1 species